UUCUAUGCUUUUCGCGAGGAUAAAACUGCGAUCGAUGGUCAGCUCUGAAAGAUACUCGUUGGCCCGAAUGAAAGCAGAUGGAUCGUACGCGGAGGCUUGCACGAAUCCGUCAUAUUAUCAUUGAGAAACACGACGCUUCCAAAAUCAUUUCUUCAAAGCUGUGAUUGCAGCGAACUAUAAUAACUACGACGUGUUCAACGUGCCAAGGAAGCGUCUGACACUGGACAGCCGCGACUACUGCUCUCGACAGACAGCUGGCCUCAAGGGGCGAGCGCAUCGUGCGUUUCCGCAAGCGACUGAGAAGACCUGUGCCGAACAGAUAAGCAAAGAUCGCCAGAAGGGGAGAGAAAGGAAGAGAAAGAGAGGAAAGACAUAUGCAAGAAUCGAGUCAGAUGUAGGCGGGUGAAGACAGAGGUCGAGCUUUGCUCCCUGUUUCGCCGCGAGCCCGUAGGGGGCAUUCCACGCAGGAAAGAGACUAAGGGUAGGAUCUGGACACCCACAGGCAACGGGAAGGAAGGAAGGAAGGAAGGAAGCAAGUGAGCAAGAAAGGGGAAGCAUCGUACGCGCUUUUCUCUUCCUAUUUCUCCACCUUUGUCACUCUCCUUCUCACCGAUCUCGUGACCGCGUGUGGCUCACGGGUCUCGUGACCGCCGCCGCCGCCGUCGGUCCGUAUGUCGAUAUUCGAGUGCGCGGCGCAGGCUGAGCAGUGGCAGUACCGAGCCACUGCGCCGAGAGUCUAAAAUUAUCGGAUAGCCCGCGCGCGCGGCCGCCAACGGAAGAGAAAGAGAAAGAACAGAGGCGCGGCAGUUACGGCGUCGCGUCACGAAACGGACAAGGACAGUCCAUGGCGAGAGGAAGCGAACGGAUCUCGAGGUAGAGCGAGACAGAUAAAACGACGAUACGUUGUGUGACAGCUAAUCCAGUGCAGGGACGACGGACGAAUCGUGGCAACGACGAAGAAAAUGCGAUGUAAUAUAGAUGGUUGGAGUCAGACGAGAACUGGAGCGAGUAGGUAAGGAGAGAGAGAGAGAGAAAGAAAAUCGUUAAAGAGCGAGAGAAAGGAAUGAAUAAACAGAAAGAGUAAGUGAGAAAAAUGGGUAUUGGACAAGGAGGGCAGCCGUGAGAUCGCCCAACAUAGAGAGCAGGCGGAAGAGAGAUAGCGUGACAAAAUUGUACAAGUAGUAGUAGUAGCUAGUACGAGCGUAGUUGAAGUAAGAGAAGGGGAGAGAACGAGGAGGUGCACGUUCUGCAGCAGGGAAAAAGAGGGAAAUACACGAGACAGAGUCAAGCAGUCGAUGCCGGGCGAGCGCGGUGUGUGAGCUGUGGAGUGAGAGAGAGAGAGAGGAAGACAAGCGUGCGCUGUAAAGUGAAAGAAAAAGAGACAGCAAGAGCGAGUGAGGGAGAUGAACGAAUAGACUACCACGUAAAGUGGAAGC